rnacentral:rRNA from 1 species
AAACAACUCAGACUAUGGUUAAGGCCCCUAAAUACUGGAUAAGUGUAAGGGAGUCUUUGGCCCAAGACAAUGGGAAGGUGGGCUUAGAAGCAGCCACCCUUUAACGAGUUCGUAACAGAUCACCCAUCGAGGUCAGAGGCACCUAAAAUGGACGGGAAUUAAUCCAGUUGCCGAUACCAUAGAACACCCGCUAGUGGUGAUUGUGUAGAGUGGCGACCUGUGUGGGUUGAAGAGGGGGCGUGAGUUCCUUUGGACCUUGCAGGUAUGUGGAUCCUGGUAGUAGUAGCAGCAAAGUGAGGUGAGAAUCCUCACCGCCGGA